UACGUAGGGUGCAAGCGUUGUCCGGAUUUACUGGGCGUAAAGAGCGCGCAGGCGGUCGAUCAAGUCGAGUGUGAAAGCCCCCGGCUCAACUGGGGAGGGUCAUUCGAUACUGAUCGACUCGAAGGCAGGAGAGGGUAGUGGAAUUCCCGGUGUAGUGGUGAAAUGCGUAGAUAUCGGGAGGAACACCAGUGGCGAAGGCGACUACCUGGCCUGUUCUUGACGCUGAGGCGCGAAAGCUAGGGGAGCAAACAGG
rnacentral:rRNA from 1 species